rnacentral:rRNA from 1 species
AAUCAACGCUGGCGGCGUGCCUCAGACAUGCAAGUCGAACGCGAAAGUCCCCUUCGGGGGACGAAGUAGAGUGGCGCACGGGUGAGUAACACGUAGGUAAUCUACCUUUGGAUGGGGAAUAACAACCGGAAACGGUUGCUAAUACCGCAUAAUGCAGCGGCACCUAAUGGUGACAGUUGUUAAAGCGGGGGAUCGAAAGACCUCGCGUCUAAAGAGGAGCCUGCGGCGGAUUAGCUAGNGGUUAAGGUAAUGGCUUACCAAGGCUACGAUCCGUAACCGGCCUGAGAGGGCGGUCGGUCACACUGACACUGACAUACGGGUCAGACUCCUACGGGAGGCAGCAGUCGGGAAUUUUGGGCAAUGGGCGAAAGCCUGACCCAGCAACGCCGCGUGAAGGAUG